CUAGCCGAGUACGGACUGAAAGCUCUACUAACUGUGAGGCUCUGACCCUGAUGCCAAGCUACACGUCAUAGUUUUCACAAACCUUCCAGUUGAGCUCUUGUUGUGUCUGCAGACUUACCCUGAUGUAAGGGGAAACACUGAUUCCCUGAGGUGUCUACUCUGAGCUUGACGAGCAACCUUGAUGGGGACAAACAGCAGAGCGUGACACAGAGGCAAAGGGGAACAGGGGAGCCCACUGGUGCCAUGUCCCAGCUGUUCUACCCAGCGUCAUUCAUCUUUUCAAUCUCCUUGUCUUAACAUGUAGCAGAAAAUAUCGUCCCAGCCAACAUGCUGCAGUUUCUUGGUUGCUCAGGUAAUGGUUCUUUUGCAGUU